UCACCACACAAUAGGACAGAGACAUAAUCUUUGGCUUCAAAACGUUCAAAUCUUACAAGAUUUAACUCCAGUUAUAUGUUAAAGAAACUUAAAGGCUUCUAGUCAGCUGAUGAUGGAUCUGAAAUUGUGGUUCUCAAUUCUGAUGGUUUGUGGGAUGGCAGAAUCUAUAGGCUCAGACAAGGACUGGCACAUAUCUGUACCAUCAAAAAUCCCUGUUCUUCAAGGCUCAUGUGUUGUCAUUCCCUGUGAGUACGUUUACCCCAAGACAAGUAAAAUAUUUAAGACAUGGUUGGGAUACUGGAAGAGAGGAAAUACAGUUGUCGCAUCAAAUUUCCACAAUUUUAAACUAACGCGUGAGUUCCACCAUCGAACCAGAAUUAAAGGAGCCCUUGAAAGCGGCAACUGCACCUGGCAGCUGAAUCACGUCAGAAAAACGGACACUGGUCCGUUUUACUUCAAAAUUGAAAUUCCACAAU